GCCGGGCGCGGUGGCGGGCGCCUGCAGUCCCAGCUACUCGGGAGGCUGAGGCAGGAGAAUGGCGUGAACCCGGGAGGCAGAGCUUGCAGUGAGCCGAGAUAGCACCACUGCAGUCCGGCCUGGGAGAAAGAGUGAGACUCCGUCUCAAUAAUAAUAAUAAUAAUUUUUUUUAUUGAUAGAUAUAUUUUUUGAGACAGAGUUUUGCUCUAGUUGCCCAGGCUGGAGUGCAAUGGCACGACCUCGGCUCACUGCAACCUCUGCCUCCUGGGUUCAAGUGAUUCUCCUGCCUCAG
rnacentral:SRP_RNA from 2 species